rnacentral:rRNA from 1 species
CGUGCCUAAUACAUGCAAGUCGAACGCUUUUAUCUCACCGGGUGCUUGCACCCACCGAGAUAAAGGAGUGGCGGACGGGUGAGUAACACGUGGGUAACCUGCCCAUAAGUGGGGGAUAACAUUCGGAAACGGAUGCUAAUACCGCAUAUCUCUAUUGGCCUCAUGGCCAAGUGAUGAAAGGCGGCUUCGGCUGUCGCUUAUGGAUGGACCCGCGGCGCAUUAGUUAGUUGGUGAGGUAACGGCUCACCAAGACGAUGAUGCGUAGCCGACCUGAGAGGGUGAUCGGCCACACUGGGACUGAGACACGGCCCAGACUCCUACGGGAGGCAGCAGUAGGGAAUCUUCCGCAAUGGACGAAAGUCUGACGGAGCAACGCCGCGUGAGUGAAGAAGGUUUUCGGAUCGUAAAACUCUGUUGUUAGAGAAGAACAAGGAUGAGAGUAACUGCUCGUCCCUUGACGGUAUCUAACCAGAAAGCCAUGGUUAACUACGUGCCAGCAGCCGCGGUAAUACGUAGAUGGCAAGCGUUGUCCGGAUUUAUUGGGCGUAAAGCGAGUGCAGGCGGUUCUUUAAGUCUGAUGUGAAAGCCCCUGGCUUAACCAGGGAGGGUCAUUGGAAACUGGAGGACUUGAGUGCAGAAGAGGAAAGUGGAAUUCCAUGUGUAGCGGUGAAAUGCGUAGAUAUAUGGAGGAACACCAGUGGCGAAGGCGACUUUCUGGUCUGUAACUGACGCUGAGACUCGAAAGCAUGGGGAGCAAACAGGAUUAGAUACCCUGGUAGUCCAUGCCGUAAACGAUGAGUGCUAAGUGUUUGGAGGGUUUCCGCCCCUCAGUGCUGCAGCUAACGCAUUAAGCACUCCGCGUGGGGAGUACGGCCGCAAGGUUGAAACUCAAAGGAAUUGACGGGGGCCCGCACAAGCGGUGGAGCAUGUGGUUUAAUUCGAAGCAACGCGAAGAACCUUACCAGGUCUUGACAUCCUUUGACCACUCUAGAGAUAGAGCUUUCCCUUCGGGGACAAAGUGACAGGUGGUGCAUGGUUGUCGUCAGCUCGUGUCGUGAGAUGUUGGGUUAAGUCCCGCAACGAGCGCAACCCUUAUUAUUAGUUGCCAGCAUUCAGUUGGGCACUCUAGUGAGACUGCCGGUGACAAACCGGAGGAAGGUGGGGAUGACGUCAAAUCAUCAUGCCCCUUAUGACCUGGGCUACACACGUGCUACAAUGGAUGGUACAACGAGUUGCGAAACAGUGAUGUUUAGCUAAUCUCUUAAAGCCAUUCUCAGUUCGGAUUGUAGGCUGCAAUUCGCCUACAUGAAGCCGGAAUCGCUAGUAAUCGCGGAUCAGCACGCCGCGGUGAAUACGUUCCCGGGCCUUGUACACACCGCCCGUCACACCACGAGAGUCUGUAACACCCAAAGUCGGUGAGGUAACCUUCGGGAGCCAGCCGCCUAAGGUGGGAUGGAUAAUUGGGGUGAA